rnacentral:rRNA from 1 species
UACGAAGGGUGCAAGCGUUACUCGGAAUUACUGGGCGUAAAGCGUGCGUAGGUGGUGAGUUAAGUCUGAUGUGAAAUCCCCGGGCUCAACCUGGGAAUGGCAUUGGAUACUGGCUCGCUAGAGUGCGGUAGAGGGUGGUGGAAUUCCCGGUGUAGCAGUGAAAUGCGUAGAGAUCCGGAGGAACACCAACGGCGUAGGCAGCGCCCUAGACGAGACCUGACGCUCAGGCACGAAAGCGCGGGGAGCGAACAGG